rnacentral:rRNA from 1 species
UACGUAGGAUGCAAGCGUUGUCCGGAAUUAUUGGGCGUAAAGAGCUCGUAGGCGGCUUGUCGCGUCGGCUGUGAAAACCCGCGGCUCAACUGUGGGCGGGCAGCUGAUACGGGCAGGCUGGAGUUCGGUAGGGGAGACUGGAAUUCCUGGUGUAGCGGUGAAAUGCGCAGAUAUCAGGAGGAACACCGGUGGCGAAGGCGGGUCUCUGGGCCGAUACUGACGCUGAGGAGCGAAAGCGUGGGGAGCGAACAGG